CACUCACACUCUCCUGUAAUUUUCGGGAGGAGAUUUGGAAGAUUCUCGCUGUCUUCGUAGUCAAGGCUAAGUCAAGUUACAGCACUUCCAGAAGAUAUUGUUUUCCCCCUGAGGACGCUCUUGGAGGUUGCUGCAAUGGAGCAGAAAUUGGCAGACCCCACCUUCCACAAAACAAGUGGUUGGCGUGGUGGCAGAAAUUGGAGGAAGAACAUUGGAUGAAGUCACCAGAAGAAUGAUGGCCUUCCUUUUAGACCACUCCCUAUG